rnacentral:rRNA from 1 species
AACGAACGCUGGCGGCAUGCCUAAUACAUGCAAGUCGAACGAGAUCUUCGGAUCUAGUGGCGCACGGGUGCGUAACGCGUGGGAAUCUGCCCUUGGGUUCGGAAUAACUUCUGGAAACGGAAGCUAAUACCGGAUGAUGACGUAAGUCCAAAGAUUUAUCGCCCAAGGAUGAGCCCGCGUAGGAUUAGCUAGUUGGUGGGGUAAAGGCCCACCAAGGCGACGAUCCUUAGCUGGUUUGAGAGGAUGAUCAGCCACACUGGGACUGAGACACGGCCCAGACUCCUGCGGGAGGCAGCAGUAGGGAAUAUUGGACAAUGGGCGAAAGGCUGAUCCAGCAAUGCCGCGUGAGUGAUGAAGGCCUUAGGGUUGUAAAGCUCGUUUACCCGGGAUGAUAAUGACAGUACCGGGAGAAUAAGCUCCGGCUAACUCCGUG